rnacentral:rRNA from 1 species
CCUGAGAAACGGCUACCACAUCCAAGGAAGGCAGCAGGCGCGCAAAUUACCCACUCCCGGCACGGGGAGGUAGUGACGAAAAAUAACGAUACGGGACUCAUCCGAGGCCCCGUAAUCGGAAUGAGUACACUUUAAAUCCUUUCACGAUUAACAAUUGGAGGGCAAGCCUGGUGCCAGCAGCCGCGGUAAUUCCAGCUCCAAUAGCGUAUAUUAAAGUUGUUGCGGUUAAAAAGCUCGUAGUUGAAUCUGUGUCCCACACUGUCGGUUCACCGCUCGCGGUGUCCAACUGGCAUGUCUGUGGGACGUCCUGCCGGUGGGCGCAGCCCGUCAAAAGGCGGCCCAACUUAAAAUCCUACCACGGUGCUCUUCACCGAGUGUCGAGGUGGGCCGGUACGUUUACUUUGAACAAAUUAGAGUGCUUAAAGCAGGCUCAUUCGCCUGAAUAUUCUGUGCAUGGAAUAAUGGAAUAGGACCUCGGUUCUAUUUUGUUGGUUUUCGGAACGCCGAGGUAAUGAUUAAUAGGGACAACUGGGGGCAUUCGUAUUGCGACGUUAGAGGUGAAAUUCUUGGAUCGUCGCACGACGGACAGAAGCGAAAGCAUUUGCCAAAUGUGUUUUCAUCAAUCAAGAACGAAAGUUAGAGGUUCGAAGGCGAUCAGAUACCGCCCUAGUUCUAACCAUAAACGAUGCCAGCUAGCGAUCCGCCGAAGUUCCUCCGAUGACUCGGCGGGCAGCUUCCGGGAAACCAAAGCUUUUGGGUUCCGGGGGAAGUAUGGUUGCAAAGCUGAAACUUAAAGGAAUUGACGGAAGGGCACCACCAGGAGUGGAGCCUGCGGCUUAAUUUGACUCAACACGGGAAAACUCACCAGGCCCGGACACCGGAAGGAUUGACAGAUUGAGAGCUCUUUCUUGAUUCGGUGGGAGGUGGUGCAUGGCCGUUCUUAGUUGGUGGAGCGAUUUGUCUGGUUAAUUCCGAUAACGAUCGAGACUCUAGCCUGCUAAAUAGGCGUACUUUCCGGUAUCUCGAAGGCCCGCCGGCUCGGCUUCGGUCGUUGUCGUGUGUGGUUUUUACUACCGGCGUACACAUAUAUCUUCUUAGAGGGACAGGUGACAUUUAGUCGCACGAGAUUGAGCAAUAACAGGUCUGUGAUGC